UUUAAUGGAGAAUCCAAUAGUAUACAUUUGAUAUCCUAAAUGUUAUUAUUUUAUUGUAUAAAUUUGGUCAAACUUGAAAAAACUUUGACUCUCCAAGAAUCUUGAAUGGCCUAUAUUUUGGGAUGGGGGAGUAUAAUAGAAUUUAUGUACAAAAACAACUAAGUAAAAUACGUCAUAUGACGACAACGAUUCUCUGCAACCAUGGUUGACUGAGAGACGACGAUCUAGAUCUCUCUGGACUCAUCGUAGCAUCCUUCAUGCCCCUCAUCUUGCAGUAUCUGUCCUUGACCUGAUGUGAUUAUAUCAAGAGUGAGCUCAUAGUGUGAGGAAUAAUGUGCAAGAGCUCACUUACAGUGGGGCUCAUGUGAUGUGUAAGACAAACCAAGUUAAAUGGUUAAGACUGAGCAUUGCUUUUAAAUAAGUUGGUCAAAAUUUUAUUAACAGUUACUAAGUGUAAAUGGAUACCAACCAAAUUAAAUAAUUGAUCACAGUGAAUAAUAAAUCCCACAAUGCCAUGCAAUGCAAUGUAUGACAUGUUAAAUUCAAUUCCAUAAAUUACUCAUGUGAGUCUUGAGCCACUCAUGACCGUGAGCAUAGCUGAUAUACCAAUUUUACACUCUGCAGAGGUUGUGCAUCUUUACCCACAAGACGUGUUUCCCGUGAAACCAGGGUCAGCUAGACCCUUGGACACUUCUAAGGUGAAUGACUAGGGAUCUACUGUGAGGCUUGUACAAAAUUGCACUAGUUUGAGAAAACCCGCUACGGUUUCAGGAAGAAUGAAGCAUAGGAAUCCCCGUUCGAAAAGCCAUCACAGCAUGAUCGACACGAGAACCUCCCUAUACUCUUCAUGAUGCCUCCUAGCUUGCCCCUUUCAGGUAAGGUAAUCUCUUCCUAACUUUUCUAAUUAAUCAGCCAAGGGCGUCCAUUUCAACCUUGUGGUAGCACUGUUUUCUCAAGUUAAGCUCCAUGUUCCAAUUAACAAAAUGAUCUUAUCAUGAACAAUAAAAAAAUCCAUUGUCAAUAAUAAUGUCGGUGUUUCGAUCCCGGGGGGUCCCUGGACCGACGAGUAAAUUGUCGCCGCGUGUCCCAGCCCAGAUGGGUCGGCGCGAGACGGAGCACGAAGGGGGGAAACAAGGAGACAGGCGUAAAGGGGAAACCCGCGGCCUUCGUGUUGUCCUGCGCCUAGGUCGGGUGCGCUUGCAGUAGGGGGUUACAAGCGUCCGCGUGGGAGGGGGCGAGAGGCUUGCACGCGCCGUCCCGUCCUCUCCGCGCGGCCAACCCUCUCGUAAGAGAGCCCUGGACCUUCCUUUUAUAGGCGUAAGGAGAGGGUCCAGGUGUACAAUGGGAGAUGUAGCAGUGUGCUAACGUGUCUAGCAGAGAGGAGCUAGUGCCCUAAGUACAUGUCGUCGUGGCAGCCGGAGAGGUUUUGGCACCCUGUUCAUGUGAUGUCGUGGCCGUCGGAGGAGCGCUGGAGCCUUGCGGAAGGACAGCUGUCAGGGCUGUCGAGUCCUUGCUGACGUUUCCUUGCUUCCGUAAGGGGCUGAGAGCCGCCGUCGUCAUGGAGCACGCGGGGCGCCAUCCUUAUUUGUUUACCGGGGCGAGCCAGAUGGGACGCCGGUCUUGUUCCUCGUAGCCUGAGCUAGCUAGGGGUAGGAUAAUGAUGGCCCCCCCAGUGACGUGGUCGGUCCGAGCCCUGGGUCAGGCGAGGCGGAGGCUCCUCCGAGGUCGAGGUCGAGUCUGUCUUCCGAGGUCGAGGUCGAGUCCGAGCCCCGGGUCGGGCGAGGCGGAGACCAUCGUCUAAGGCCAAAGCUGAGUCCGAGCCCUGGGGUCGGGCGAGGCGGAGUUCGUCGUCUUCCGGGGCCGAGGCUGAGUCCGAGCCCUGGGGUCGGGCGAGGCGGAGUUCGUCGUCUUCCGGGGCCGAGGCCGAGUCCGAGCCCUAGGGUCGGGCGAGGCGGAGUUCGUCGUCUUCCGGGGCCGAGGCCGAGUCCGAGCCCUGGGGUCGGGCGAGGCGGAGUUCGUCGUCUUCCGGGGCCAAGGCUGAGUCCGAGCCCUAGGGUCGGGCGAGGCGGAGCUCGUCGUCUUUCGGGGCCGAGGCCGAGUCCGAGCCCUGGGUCGGGCGAGGCGGAGUUCGUCGCCCGAGGCCGAGACGGGGGCCGAGCCCUGGGGUCGGGCGAGGCAGAGCUUCCUAUGGCGCCCGAAGCCGGACUUGGCUGCUGUCAGCCUCACUCUGUCGAGCGGCACAACAGUCGGAGCGACGCAGGCGGCGCUGUCUUCUUGUCAGGCCGGUUAGUGGAGCGGCGAAGUGACUGCGGUCACUUCGGCUCUAUCGACUGAAGGGUGCGCGUCAGGAUAAGGUGUCAGGCCAUCCUUGCAUUAAAUGCUUCUGCGAUACGGUCGGUUGGUGUGGCGAUCUGGCCAAGGUUGCUUCUUGGCGAAGACUGGGCCUCGGGCGAGUCGAAGGUGUGUCUGUUGCUUGAGGGGGCCCUCGGGCGAGACGUGAAUCCUCCAGGGUCGGCUGCCCUUGCCCGAGGCUGGGCUCGGGCGAGGCGAGGUCGUGUCCCUUGAGUGGACCGAGCCUUGGCUUAAUCGCACCUAUCAGGCCUUUGCAGCUUUGUGCUGAUGGGGGUUACCAGCUGAGAUUAGGAGUCUUGGGGGUACCCCUAAUUAUGGUCCCCGACAGUAGCCCCCGAGCCUCGAAGGGAGUGUUAAUACUCGCUUGGAGGCUUUUGUCGCACUUUUUUGCAAGGGGACCAGCCUUUCUCGGUUGCGUUUCGUUCCGGUGGGUGCGCGCGAGCGCACCCGUUGGGUGUAGCCCCCGAGGCCUCGGAGGAGUGGUUUGACUCCUUCGAGGUCUUAAUGUGUUUCGUGAUGCUUCGACCGGUCUGGUUGUUCCCUCAUGCGAACUGGCCGUAGCCCGGGUGCACAGUCGAGUCCCAAGUUCUCGGGCUGGUAUGUUGACGUUGUCAACGGUUUGGCCGGUGCCAGGUUUGCGAGAGCAGCCCCCGAGCCUCUGCACAGAGCGAGAGGACGGUCAAGGACAGACUCGACUAUUUUACAUACGCCCCUGCGUCGCCUUUCCGCAAGGAGGAGGGGUGGAAAGCGCCAUGUUUUUCUCGGAGGGCGCCGAACAUGGUGUCUCCAGUGAGUUGCUAACGGGUAAUCCGAGUGGAUGCCCGUGCCCCAUUCGUUAGGGGUCGGCUAGUGGCCCGGAGGCGCGCUCCAAAAGUACCUGCGGGUGAUUUGCCGGACCCGGUCCCCUUUUGACGGGGUCCGAGGGCUCGAUGCCUCCCUCUGGUGGGAUUCCGUUACAAAAUCGUUCCCGUUGGUCUCGGAAAUGUCCUAGGGUACCUCGGGAGCGUAGCCCGAGCCUUGGUUAUGUAUCGAACGUACCCAGGGUCAUCCCUCGCUCUGCGUCUGAGGCGGCUGUCGAACCCUUCGGGGGCCAGCCUACGAACCCCUGAUCAGUAGUGGGCGCGGAGCCCGAGUAGCCUGAGGCGGUCGUUGAACCCUUCCGAGGGGCCAGCCUUCGAACCUCUGAUCAGUAGGGGGGCUCGGGGCCCGUUUCCUUUGCGGAGAAGGAUCCCUUUCGGGGUAUCCCCUUUCCCGGUCCCUGCUGUAAGAGAGAGAAAGAGGAAGAGGAAGAGGAUACGAAAUCGAACGACGUGGCGCACCUUUUUUGACGCGGUCAUUAUGGCGGAAGCGAAGCGUCGCCUGCUUCGCCUGCCAAAGGUGCCACCUGUCCUGCCGCAUAGUUAAUGCGACGGGACGAGUGGUUCGCGGGGCAGCCGUUGCGCGUGCGCGAGCCGUUCGAGGAAUGGAACACGGGCGCGUCAUCUUCAUGCCGUGGGAGAGGGUUCUCUCGCUGCCCCAAGAGGGGACGUGAGCUUGGCUGACGACUUGACCGCUGCUUCCGCCCGCCUGCCACCGCCAUUACUGUCGGCCCAUUUCUGGCCAUAUCGACCGUCACGCCUUCUCCCGCGGCUGACUGACCCAUGACCGAUGUUCUCGGUUGGCACUGUUGGGUCACGCGCAGGGUCACCUCGAGUCGCAGUACUGGUUCCGCAGUCGAGGAGGCACGGUAGCGACGCGAGUGGCGGUGCAGUUUCUUGCACGUAGUAACCGGCGCGCCGGUUACAUGACGUGUGGGCCUGGGUCUCCAUGCUGGACGCGUCGAAGUCGAAAGGGUGCGCCCCCUUGGUGCGGUUGCAUGCCACCUGCAUUGCGGCCCGCCCUUUCGCCCGCUGGCCUGGGCGGAAGUGGAGGAAUGCUCAUAACCGCUGGGCAGUUGUGCGCACCGCGCGCGGCGGUUUGGCUUUUUUCUGCCCUGGGCCAGCGUGCAUGACGCGUGGGACCCAGCCCCCCGUGUCGUAGGGGGAGAACCUUGGAGCGUGUUGGAGAAGACUCAGCCUGCGACGGCUGAGGACGCAAGUGGGGAGAGUUGCCUUUUAAAGGUGGGUGACCCCUUGAAAGACAACCAUGUCUUUGCGCUCCCCUCAUGCAUCGCGUCUUUCCACCUUCCGAGCCCCCGGAUGGGGGCGCCCGCGGUUCUUCCGCCUUGUCGUCGUUGGAGGAACGCAACUUGGCGGAAGUUGGUACCUUUCAGCCAUCGUUCGGCUUCAAGGAUUUUCAUCAGACAGCCCGGCCGCAUCCCCUCGCCCGUGGUCACCCAAGACGGUGACCACCAGUUCCAGGGUGGGGAGAAGCAAGCCGGGCUGCGGCCUUCGCCCCUCCCUCAGCUUCAAGGAUGUUCAUCAUCAGUGCUGGGGAGGGGAGUGCGCCGAGUUGGGGCCUGUCUCCGCGCGAGCAGCGGCCCGCUCCUUCCCUUAGUGAUCGGGGGAAGGGCGUUCGUCGUUCGUGGCGCUGGCAGCUGCCGCGUGUCUGGCUCUCCGGCCCGAGCGGCUUCGGCGCCGCUUCCGGUGCCACCUCCCGCCGAGGCAGCCGGAAGAGGUUUCUCCGCCGACGAGAUAGUCGGUGCCGCCCGCGGACUGACCUCCAACUCUACUACCUUCUGCUUGUCCUCGCCCCUCGAGUGGGGACGUGGGCGAGGGCCUUGUGGCAGCAGCAUCCGCCCUGAGGUCAUCGCUGCUGCUGCUGUUCGGCCGCUCAGGGCAGAAGUCGUUGUCGCUGCUGCUCUUCGGGCGGCGGCAAGCCAUCCGUCGUCCUUCUGUUGCUCCGCAGGGCCUCCAAUCGUGGGGGGUUGUUCGUACCUGCGGAGGUGGAACCGGAGUUCCGUUUGUAAUGGCACCUUGAGUGCCGGUGUCUGUUCAUCGUGGCUGUCGGGGCCUGAACAUGUAUGCAUUUUCGGCACGGAGCCGUGUCUUUUCCUCAUUUCGAGCACUAGGACUCGCCUGUCGGCUAACUAAACCUCUUAACCAAGUGUGAGUUGCCUUGUGCGAAGGUGACGAGUGAGGUAUCCGUAUCCCGGAGGCGUAGGAGUCCCUCGGCUCGGUCGGCCUUGCCGCCCGAGGCUCCUCUUGCUUAGUUAAGGGAACCCUCGGCCGCUCUUCGAUGAGCCGAAGCCGGAGGCAGCGGUGUUAGCAUGGACAGAGGCAGAGUUGUCUUGAAAAGAAGACUUCGUCGGCCGGAGCCUGGCCGGGCCGUCCACUGGCGGGACCGACGCCGGAGUCGAGUUGCCGAAGCCACGAGCCGGGUUGGUGUCCUCGGGGGACAGCUGGCUGAGGCUUCGGGGCGGCCGGCCGAGCCGUCUGCUCGGGCCGGAUUCCUAGAGAAGACCCUGGCGGCGAUGGCCCGGGCGCGGUGCCGACGUCGUCCUUCGGAGUGGAGACCCUCGGUCAGACUUUGCCGAAGGUGGAGUCGACACCGAGGGUGCUGCUGCUCCCCCUCUGUCGACGUCUGAGCCUGCAGGAUCGGUUCAUCUUGUAGUGUGCGUAUGUUUUCUGCGGCCGCCGAGGCCCAAACAUACUGUCGUCGUGUUGUAAAGCUGCGUUUCUUUUCCUCUUGUUUCGAGUAUCUGGACUUAUUUGUCGGUAACAGAAUUGUUUGUCCGAGCGAGAGUUACUUUUCACGGAAGGUGAUGAGUGAGGUAUCCGUAUCCCGGAGGCGUAGGAGUCCCUCGGCUCGAUCGACCUUGCCGCUUACAUGUACACUUACUCGUCCGUAGGAUUCUGCUAUCGAUAUAGUCGAGAAGGCACGAAAAAUCGUUUCGGCAGAAGAGUUUUCGAGUGUGAAGACUUGUUCGGUCUACGGAAUCGCUUAUCCGAGCGUGAGUUACUUAUCGCAGAAGGUGAUGAGUGAGGUAUCCGUAUCCCGGAGGCGUAGGAGUCCUUCGGCUCGGUCAGCCUUGGCUGCUUACGUGUACUCCGUCGUUUUCAGGAUCCCACUUUCGAAGUAGUCGAAAAGCACGAAAGACGUUCUGGCAGAAAAGAUCUUUUCCGAGGAAAAUUUUGACGCGGAGGGGGUUCCCCCCUUCUAGCCCCCGAGGGAGGGUCGGGCUUUGCCGAGGCAAGGCUGACCCUUCCUUGAUGGUUAGACUUUGUGUGUGAACGAGGCGUACGAACGACUUGAAAGCAUCUUAAGGGUAGAAGCGACGUAGCUGUCGGAUGUUCCAAGCGUUGUUGUAGACCUCGCCUUGACUAUUGGCCAGCUUGUACGUCCCGGGCUUCAGAACCUUGGCAAUGAUGAACGGCCCUUCCCAGGGAGGCGUGAGCUUGUGCUGCCCUCGGGCGUCUUGUCACAGCCGAAGCACCAAGUCGCCCACCUGGAGGUCUCGGGACCGAACCCCUCGGGCGUGGUAGCGUCGCAGGGACUGCUGAUACCGCGCCGAGUGUAGUAAGGCCAUGUCCCGAGCCUCUUCUAGCUGGUCCAGUGAGUCUUCUCGGUUAGCUCGAUUGCUUUGGUCGUCGUAGGCCCUUGCCCUCGGGGAACCGUAUUCUAAGUCUGUGGGCAAGAUGGCCUCGGCCCCAUAGACUAGAAAGAACGGUGUGAAGCCCGUGGCUCGGCUCGGCGUUGUCCUCAGACUCCAGACCACCGAGGGGAGCUCCUUCAUCCAUCGCUUGCCGAACUUGUUGAGGUUGUUGUAGAUCCGUGGCUUGAUUCCUUGCAGAAUCAUGUCGUUGGCACGCUCUACUUGCCCAUUCGUCAUGGGGUGAGCCACGGCGACCCAGUCCACCCGGAUGUGGUGACCCUCGCAGAAGUCCAGGAACUUUCUGCCGGUGAACUGGGUGCCGUUGUCGGUGAUGAUGGAGUUCGGGACCCCAAAGCGAUGGAUGAUGUUGGUAAAGAACGCCACCGCCUGUUCGGACCUGAUGCUGUUUAGGGGUCGGACCUCGAUCCACUUGGAGAAUUUGUCGAUGGCGACCAGCAGGUGCGUGUAGCCUCCGGGUGCCUUCUGCAAGGGACCGACGAGGUCCAGGCCCCACACAGCAAACGGCCAGGUGAUGGGUAUUGUCUGUAGAGCCUGAGCGGGCAGGUGGGUCUGCCUCGCGUAGAAUUGACACUCUUGGCAGGUGCGGACAAUUCUAGUGGCGUCGGCCACCGCGGUCGGCCAGUAGAAACCUUGUCGGAAGGCGUUUCCAACAAGGGCUCGAGGCGUUGCGUGAUGACCGCAAGCCCCCGAGUGUAUUUCUUGUAAGAGCUCCUGGCCUUCGGCGAUGGAUAUGCAUCGCUGGAGGAUGCCUGAGGGGCUGCGGUGGUAGAACUCCUUCCCGUCCCCUAGCAAGACGAACGACUUGGCGCGCCGCGCCAAUCGUCGAGCUUCGGCUCGGUCGAGGGGUAGCUCUCCUCGGUGGAGAUAUUGCAGGUACGGGGUCUGCCAGUUUCGAUUAGGCGUGACCCCGCUCCGCUCUUCCUCGACGCGCAGUGCCUCACCCUCGGGGGCUAAGGGUGCCUCGGGCUGGGCCGAGGCCUUCUCGGGCUCGGGCGUGUCGUCGGUCUUGACUGAGGGUUGAUGUAGGUCUCGGGAGAAGACGUCCGGGGGAACCGUUGUUCGCCCCGAGGCUAUCUUAGCCAGCUCGUCCGCAGUCUCGUUGUAUCGUCGGGCGAUGUGGUUGAGCUCGAGCCCAUAGAACUUGUCUUCCAGGCGCCGAACCUCGUCGCAGUAGGCUUCCAUCUUCGGGUCGCGGCAGUGGGAGUUCUUCAUGACUUGGUCGAUGACAAGUUGUAAGUCACCGCGAGCGUCGAGGCGUCGGACCCCUAGCUCGAUGGCGAUGUGCAACCCGUUAACCAGAGCCUCGUACUCGGCCACGUUGUUGGACGCCGGGAAAUGGAGGCGCAGCACGUAGCGGAGGUGUUUCCCGAGGGGUGAGAUGAAGAGCAGGCCCGCGCCCGCUCCUGUUUUCAUCAGCGACUCGUCAAAAAACAUGGUCCAGAGUUCCGGUUGGAUCGGAGCCACUGGAAGCUGGGUGUCGACCCAUUCAGCCACAAAGUCCGCCAAGACUUGGGACUCGAUGGCCUUUCGAGGGGCGAACGAGAUUGUCUCGCCCAUGAUUUCCACUGCCCACUUUGCAAUCCUACCCGAGGCCUCUCGGCACUGGAUGAUCUCCCCCAGGGGGAAGGAUGACACCACAGUCACCGGAUGACACCGAAGUAGUGUCGCAACUUCCGUCGCGUCAGAAUCACCGCGUACAACAACUUCUGAAUUUGUGGGUAGCGGAUCUUGGUCUCGGACAGUACCUCACUGAUGAAGUAGACCGGCCUCUGGACGGGCAAUGCAUGCCCCUCUUCUCGUCUCUCAACCACGAUCGCGGCGCUGACCACCUGAGUGGUAGCGGCGACGUAGAUCAAGAGGGCUUCUCUGGCAGCGGGGGGCACCAAGAUGGGCGCGUUCGUGAGGAGCGCCUUCAGGUUCCCGAGGGCUUCCUUGGCCACAGGGAUCCAAGUGAAGCACUCGGGCUUUCUUAAGAGGCGGUACAGGGGUUGGCCUCUUUCGCCGAGGCGCAAGAUGAAGCGGCUCAGAGCCGCAAGGCAUCCCAUGACCCUCUGUACGCCUUUCAAGCCCUUGAUGGGCCCCAUGUUGGUGAUGGCCGCGAUUUUCUCUGGGUUGGCCUCGAUGCCCCGCUCGGAGACGAUGAACCCCAAGAGCAUGCCUCGGGGUACUACGAAGACGCACUUCUCGGGAUUGAAUUUUACGUCUUUCGCCUUGAGACAUCGGAAUGUCGUUUCAAGGUCGGAAAGGAGGUCGGAGGCUUUCCUCGUCUUGACUAUGAUGUCAUCGACGUAAGCCUCAACCGUUCGACCGAUGUGUUGGCCGAACACGUGGUUCAUGCACCUUUGGUAUGUCGCACCCGCAUUCCUCAAACCAAACGGCAUAGUAACGUAGCAGUACAUGCCGAAAGGUGUGAUGAAAGAAGUCGCGAGCUGGUCGGACUCUUUCAUCCUGAUUUGGUGAUACCCUGAGUAGGCAUCGAGGAAAGACAGGGUUUCGCACCCAGCAGUGGAAUCCACGAUUUGAUCGAUGCGAGGCAGAGGAUAGGGAACUUUCGGACAUGCUUUGUUCAGACCAGUGUAGUCUACACACAUCCGCCAUUCCCCCCUUUCUUUCUCACAAGCACAGGGUUGGCAAGCCAUUCGGGAUGGAAUACCUCUUUGAUGAACCCUGCAGCCGUCAGCUUGUGGAUCUCCUCGCCUAUGGCUCUGUGCUUUUCUUCGUCGAAUCGGCGCAGAGGCUGCUUCACGGGUCGGGCUCCAGCUCGGAUAUCCAGUGAGUGCUCGGCGACCUCCCUCGGUAUGCCAGGCAUGUCCGAGGGACUCCACACAAAGACUUCGACGUUUGCGCGGAGAAAGUCGACGAGCACCGCUUCCUAUUUGGGGUCGAGCUCGGAGCCGAUCCGGAUUUGCUUGGAGGCGUCGUUGCUGGGGUCGAGAGGGACGAAUUUGACCGUCUUUGCUGGCUCGAAAUUGCCGGCAUGGCGCUUCACGUCUGGCGCCUCCUUGGAGAGGCUCUCCAGGUCGGCGAUGAGGGCCUCGGAUUCGGCGAGGGCCUCAGCGUACUCCACGCACUCCACGUCGCAUUCGUACGCGUGCCGGUUCGUGGGGCCGACGGUGAUGACCCCGUUGGGGCCCGACAUCUUGAGCUUGAGGUAGGUGUAGUUGGGGACGGCCAUGAACUUGGCGUAGCAUGGCCUCCCCAGCACUGCGUGGUAGGUUCCUCGGAACCCGACCACCUCGAACGUGAGGGUUUCCCUUUGGAAGUUUGAGGGAGUCCCAAAGCAGACGGGUAGAUCGAGUUGUCCGAGGGACUGGACGCAUUUCCCGGGGAUGAUCCCGUGAAAAGGCGUCGCGCCCACCCAGACCGAGGACAGAUCGAUCCGCAGGAGCCCGAGGGUCUCGGCGUAGAUGAUGUUGAGGCUGUUGCCUCCGUCCAUGAGGACCUUGGUGAGUCUGACGUUGCCGAUGACGGGGUCGACAACGAGCGGAUAUUUCCUCGGGCUCGGCACACGGUCGGGAUGGUCGCCCUGGUCGAAGGUGAUGGGCUUGUCGGACCAGUCUAGGUAGACUGGCGCUGCCACCUUUACCGAGCAGACCUCCCGACGCUCUUGCUUGCGGUGCCGAGCCGAGGCAUUCGCCACUUGCCCACCGUAGAUCAUGAAGCAGUCGUGGACCUCGGGGAACUCUCCUGCCUUGUGAUCCUCCUUCUUAUCGUCGUUGCGGGCCCUGCCACCUUCCGCAGGUGGCCCGACCUUGUGAAAGUGGCGCCGAAGCAUGGUGCACUCCUCAAGGGUAUGCUUGACGGGCCCCUGAUGAUAGGGGCACGACUCCUUGAGCAUCUUGUCGAAGAGAUUGGCGCCUCCGGGAGGUUUCCGAGGGUUCUUGUACUCAGCGGCGGCGACAAGGUCCGCGUCGGCGCGUCGCGUUUCGCUUGCGACUUCUUCUUGCCUUUCUUCUUGGUGCCGCGCUGAGUGGACGCCUCGGGGACAUCUUCCGGCUGGCGGCCCUGGGGCUGCUUGUCCUUCCGGAAGAUGGCCUCAACCGCCUCCUGGCCAGAGGCGAACUUGGUGGCGAUGUCCAUCAGCUUGCUCGCCCUGGUGGGGGUCUUGCGACCUAGCUUGCUCACUAGGUCGCGGCAGGUGGUGCCGGCGAGGAACUCGCCGAUGACAUCCGAGUCGGUGACGUUGGGUAGCUCGGUGCGCUGCUUCGAGAAUCGUCGGAUGUAGUCCCGGAGAGACUCUCCUGGCCACUGGCGGCAGCUUCGGAGAUCCCAGGAGUUCCCAGGGCGCACGUACGUGCCCUGGAAGUUGCCGGCGAAGGCUUGGACCAGGUCAUCCCAGUUGGAGAUCUGCCCCGGAGGCAGGUGCUCCAACCAGGCUCGAGCGGUGUCGGAGAGGAACAGGGGGAGGUUGCGGAUGAUGAGGUUGUCAUCGUCCGUUCCACCCAGUUGGCAGGCCAGCCGGUAGUCCGCGAGCCACAGUUCCGGCCUCGUCUCCCCCGAGUACUUUGUGAUAGUAGUCGGGGUUCGGAACCGGGUCGGGAACGGCGCCCGUCGUAUGGCCCGGCUGAAAGCCUGUGGACCGGGUGGUUCGGGCGAGGGACUCCGAUCCUCCCCGCUGUCGUAGCGUCCUCCACGCCUGGGGUGGUAGCCUCGGCGCACCCUCUCGUCGAGGUGGGUUCGACGGUUGCGGUGAUGGUGCUCGUUGCCGAGGCGACCCGGGACCGCAGGCGCUGUGUUGCGUGUGCGCCCGGUGUGGAUCGAGGCUUCCCGCAUGAAGCAGGAAGUCGCGGCGCGAUGCUCCGAGGGGUAUCCCUGCCUUCGGGAGGCAGAGCUUUCGGCCCGUCGGACCACGACAUCCUCCAGGAGAUUCUUGAGCUCUCCCUGGAUAUGUCGCCCUUCGGUGGUUGAUGGCUCCAGCAUCGCGCGGAGAAGUAUUGCCGCUGUAGCCAGGUUCUGGCCGACCCCACUGGAAGCCGGUGGCGGCCUUGCCCUGACAUCGUCGGCGAUGCGGUGCUGGAUGCCCUAGGGUAAAUGACGCGCUUCUCCGGCCAGAGCUUGGCCUGCCCAUUCCCGCCCGAUGUCCCGGCGGAACGGCUCAAGUGUUCCUGCUCCCUCGUCGAGCCUGGCCUGCAUCUCGCGGAUUUGCUCGAGCUGUGUGUCCUAACCCCCCGCAGGGACUGGGACCACAGCUAGCUCCCGAAGGAUGUCAACGCGAGGCGCAGGCCUAGGGGGAUCACCGUUUUCCGGUAUACCAAGAUGGUUGCCUUCGCCGGGACCCCCUAGAUCGAUGUGGAAACAUUCACGACUUGGGCCGCAGUCCUCGUCGCCGAAGCUGCGGCCACCGUCGGAACAGUCGGAAAGGCAGUAGUCGCAUGCGGUCAUGAAGUCCCGCAUGGCACUAGGGUUACCAAGUCCGGAGAAAUCCCAACAAAAGUCGGGCUCGUCAUCUUCCUCGGAACCCGAGGGCACGUAGGUCGAGACGGCUGUCAGCCGGUCCCAGGGUGACCGCACACUGUACCCCGGAGGGUUUGGACAUGCCUCUAUGAAGGCUUCCACUGAAGCGAAGUCGCUUGGUGGGUCGAGGCUGAAUCCAAAAGGCACGAGAUGGGAAUCGGUCGGUACCUCUUGGUCGACGGGCGGUGACGAAGUCGCGUCAGGGGCAGACUGCACCGUCGUCUCAGGUACGAGGGUGACGCCCAGCAAGUCCUUUGCGAGCGUGCUGGCGUCGUCCGUCCGCUUGGAGUUGGCGUGUUGCGGGGAAACGACGCUCGUCUUCGUCUCAGACGCGAGGUCGACGCUCGACGUGUCCCCCGUUGGGGCGCCAGCGCCGUCAACUCGCUCGACAGCCGACGAGGUGCCGCCUCCUGCUUGGCCUUGGUUGCCCCGCCUCCUCCUCCGUCAGCGGGGGAGGCGACGGGACAAACCCGAAUGUUGUUCUUCCGCCACGUGGGGAAGACGUCGUCGAUUCCGCCGCCGACGGGCGGGUUGUCGGCCGCCAUUGUCGCUGUCACGCAGCGGAGGAAGGGGUAUCAUGUCGUAGCUGCCGUCGAGGGACAUGAACUCGAAACUCCCGAAACGGAGCACCGUCCCGGGCUGGAGAGGUUGCUGGAGACUGCCCAUCUGGAGCUUGACGGGAAGCUGUUCGUCAACACGCAGCAGGCCCCUACCUGGCGCGCCAACUGUCGGCGUUUCGACCCCGGGGGGUCCCUGGACCGACGAGUAAAUUGUCGCCGCGUGUCCCAGCCCAGAUGGGUCGGCGCGAGACGGAGCACGAAGGGGGGAAACAAGGAGACAGGCGUAAAGGGCAAACCUGCGGCCUUCGUGUUGUCCUGCGCCUAGGUCGGGUGCGCUUGAAGUAGGGGGUUACAAGCGUCCGCGUGGGAGGGGGCGAGAGGCUUUCACACGUCGUCCCGUCCUCUCGGCGCGGCCAACCCUCUCGUAAGAGAGCCCUGGACCUUCCUUUUAUAGGCGUAAGGAGAGGGUCCAGGUGUACAAUGGGAGAUGUAGUAGUGUGCUAACGUGUCUAGCAGAGAGGAGCUAGUACCCUAAGUACAUGUCGUCGUGGCAGCCGGAGAGGUUUUGGCACCCUGUUCAUGUGAUGUCGUGGCCGUUGGAGGAGCGCUGGAGCCUUGCGGAAGGACAACUGUCGGGGCUGUCGAGUCCUUGCUGACGUCUCCUUGCUUCCGUAAGGGGCUGAGAGCCGCCGUCGUCAUGGAGCACACGGGGCGCCAUCAUUAUUUGUUUACCGGGGCGAGCCAGAUGGGACGCCGGUCUUGUUCCCCGUAGCCUGAGCUAGCUAGGGGUAGGAUAAUGAUGGCCCCCCUGUGACGUGGUCGGUCCGAGCCCUGCGUCAGGCGAGGCGGAGGCUCCUCCGAGGUCGAGGUCGAGUCUGUCUUCUGAGGUCAAGGUCGAGUCCGAGCCCCGGGUCGGGCGAGGCGGAGACCAUCGUCUGAGGCCAAAGCUGAGUCCGAGCCCUGGGGUCGGGCGAGGCGGAGUUCGUCGUCUUCCGGGGCCGAGGGUGAGUCCGAGACCUGGGGUCGGGCGAGGCGGAGUUCGUCGUCUUCCGAGGCCGAGGCCGAGUCCGAGCCCUGGGGUCGGGCGAGGCGGAGUUCGUCGUCUUCCGGGGCCGAGGCCGAGUCCGAGCCCUGGGGUCGGGCGAGGCGGAGUUCGUCGUCUUCCGGGGCCGAGGCUGAGUCCGAGCCCUAGGGUCGGGCGAGGCGGAGCUCGUCGUCUUUCGGGGCCGAGGCCGAGUCCGAGCCCUGGGUCGGGCGAGGCGGAGUUCGUCGUCCGAGGCCGAGACGGGGGCCGAGCCCUGGGGUCGAGCGAGGCGGAGCUUCCUAUGGCACCCGAAGCCGGACUUGGCUGCUGUCAGCCUCACUCUGUCGAGCAGCACAGCAGUCGGAGUGACGCAGGCGGCGCUGUCUUCUUGUCAGGCCGGUCAGUGGAGCGGCGAAGUGACUGCGGUCACUUCGGCUCUAUCGACUGAAGGGCGCGCGUCAGGAUAAGGUGUCAGGCCAUCCUUGCGUUAAAUGCUUCUGCGAUACGGUCGGUUGGUGUGGCGAUCUGGCCAAGGUUGCUUCUUGGCGAAGACUGGGCCUCGGGCGAGCCGAAGGUGUGUCCGUUACUUGAGGGGGCCCUCGGGCGAGACGUGAAUCCUCCGGGGUCGGCUGCCCUUGCCCGAGGCUGGGCUCGGGCGAGGCGAGGUCGUGUCCCUUGAGUGGAACGAGCCUUGGCUUAAUCGCACCCAUCAGGCCUUUGCAGCUUUGUGCUGAUGGGGGUUACCAGCUGGGAUUAGGAGUCUUGGGGGUACCCCUAAUUAUGGUCCCCGACAAAUAAUAAAGAAUGAUCAGAAUUCAUAUUUAGCAUUGAUCCUAAAGCUAGGUAGAGCAAUAGCAAUACCACCCAAUAAUUCAUGUGUUUGCAAGGUAUAGGGUAAACAAAACUAGGUAACCUAUUAGGUCCCAUCAACUUAACAUAACUGUGCCACUGUGAUUAACGAAAACAUUAUUAGGUAAGCAAAGUGAUCAAGGACACAACUUGCAUUAUACUUGCGAUAACCUGUUGUCUAGAUGCUAGAUGCUACCCCAAAAGUUAGGAUUCAGAUUCCUCACGAGCUCGCCUCUACUCGUAGUUUACAUACCAUCAAGCAAAUAAUGUACAUAGUAACAUUACACUAAAGCAUAAGAACGACUGUGUAAGAAUAUUCUAUGCACCGCUAUGAGAUCUUAAGUUCGAGAACCACUAAAAUCGGUUCUACGGUUAAAAAGAUAUGGUUUCCUGAAGGUUUAGGUGAUUAAAUAGUAAAAGUAUAUUCUAUGGUAAUUAAUGUAAAUCAGGCGAGAAAAAUAUUACAAAGAAAUAACUAAUUCAACUUUAAUCUAAGUUAUAACUUUAUUAGAGGUUAUAUUUUAGUUAGAUUAUAAUUAUAGACAAACUAACGUAGAUUAGAGAGGUUAAUCUACUAAUCCUAGAUUAAACAAAUAUAUAAAAUUUAAAAGUAAGUGACAUGAUACAAAUAGCGUUGUUAUUGUGUAGAUAGUGUUAUUAUAAAGCUAACACAAUUUGAACGGACCAAUUCAGAGUUAAAACGAGCAAGAUAUGAUUUAUCUAAGUUAUUGGAAUUAUUUUUAUACUAUUAAUUAAUUUCAGAAUUUACUUUAUAUAAAUCAUAAACCUUUUGAACGGAGGUUCAAUUCGUGAGAAGGUCGGGGUUUCACAUGCAAAAUAAAGGACCGGUUUUAAAUACUCUUUAAACGACUAUAGACCACGGGUUGAUUUUACAUGAACUCACGGGCUUAUUUAGAAAAUUGCCACGGCUGAAUAACGUAGACGUGCUCUGGUCCGCCCAGAUCAAAUCUGACGUCCCAGAUUAACAGAUGAUCUGCCGAAUCGGUAUGCGCUUGAACCCGUCACAUCCAAGUUCUACGACCCCGAUCUUACACUAGCGCGAUCUAAUCUUAGUCGUUACUUACUCGAUCAACGACUCACGUGCGUCUCCUCUCACCGUCCGAAUGCGGCGUCGUCGUCGAUUCCCCACGGUGGAGCCAUUGCCGGAGUUCACCCACCCGCAUAACCACGCGCCAAAUUUGCAUCCAAAGUGCUCGAAACAAAAUAGGGAAUGAGAUGAACGCCAUGGGAGUAUUGUACCGAGGAUCGGGUGCCGAGCGUGCAGACCACAGAGGGUAGCGGCUCGACGGAGAUGUCCAUGUCCGGUGAGCAAUUCCUUGUGAUUUUAUCGCUGAUCCCGCCUGAUGGGUGCACACACACCUUCCUCGUGGCACCGUGAAGAUCUUUUUGCCCGAUCUCAGACACCGAACGACGUCACAGGUGAAGUCCCACGGCGGCGGCGGUCCCGCCUUCCCCCAAUGAUGGUGGCUCGCCGCGGAGGUUGGGCAGUAGGCUCUGGAGAGUCUAGGAUAGGUUAUGGGUGACUCGGCGCAGCUCUUCGGUCACC
rnacentral:lncRNA from 1 species